rnacentral:tRNA from 1 species
AAAAUUUUAAGUUAUAAAAACUAUUAAUUUUCAAAGUUAAAAAAAUAUUAUUUAUAUAAAUUUUA